rnacentral:rRNA from 1 species
CAGCAGCCGCGGUAAUACAGAGGGUGCGAGCGUUAAUUGGAUUUACUGGGCGUAAAGCGUGCGUAGGCGGCUUCUUAAGUCGGAUGUGAAAUCCCUGAGCUUAACUUAGGAAUUGCAUUCGAUACUGGGAAGCUAGAGUAUGGGAGAGGAUGGUAGAAUUCCAGGUGUAGCGGUGAAAUGCGUAGAGAUCUGGAGGAAUACCGAUGGCGAAGGCAGCCAUCUGGCCUAAUACUGACGCUGAGGUACGAAAGCAUGGGGAGCAAACAGGAUUAGAUACCCCCGUAGUCCCUGUCUCUUAUAC